UACGAAGGGUGCAAGCGUUACUCGGAAUUACUGGGCGUAAAGCGUGCGUAGGUGGUUCGUUAAGUCUGUCGUGAAAGCCCCGGGCUCAACCUGGGAAUUGCAUUCGAGACUGUGUAGCUAGGGUACGGAAGAGGGAAGCGGAAUUUCAGGUGUAGCGGUGAAAUGCGUAGAUAUCUGAAGGAACACCAGUGGCGAAAGCGGCUUCCUGGUCCAGUACCGACGUUCAGGCACGAAAGCGUGGGGAGCAAACAGG
rnacentral:rRNA from 1 species